ACAGACAGACAUGCAGACAAACACACACACAGAGACAGACAGACAGACACACACAGACAGACAAACACAGCUAUACAGACAGACAGACAGACACCGACAGAGACACACACAGCGACACAGACAGACAAACACACCGACAGACAGACAAACAGACACACUGACAGACAGACAUAUACAGCUACACAGACAGACAGACAGACGCACACAGCUACACAGACAGACAGACAGACAGACAGACAGACAGACAGACAGACAGACAGACAGACAGACACAGCUACACAGACAGACAGACAGACACACCGACAGACAGACACACAGAACUACACAGACAGACAGACACACAGCCAAAACAGACAGACACACAGACAGACAGGCAGACAAACAGACAGACACACAGACAGACAGACAGACAGACAGACACUUAGACAGACAAACAGACACACAGACAGACACAUAGACAGACAGACAGACAGACAGACACAGCUACACAGACAGACAGACAGACACACCGACAGACAGACACACAGAACUACACAGACAGACAGACAGACACACAGCCAAAACAGACAGACACACAGACAGACAGGCAGACAAACAGACAGACACACAGACAGACAGACAGACAGAAAGACACACACACACAGACAAACAAACAGCUAUACAGACAGACAGACAGACACACCGACAGAGACACACACAGCGACACAGACAGACAAACACACCGAUAGACAGACAAACAGACACACUGACAGACAGACAUACACAGUUACACAGACAGACACACACACACACAGACAGACACUUAGACAAACAAAUACACAGACAGACACACCGACAGACAGACACACACAGAUACACAGACAGACAGUCACACAGACAGACACAAACACACGCUCACAGACAGACAGACACACACAGCUACACAGACAGGCAGGCAGCCAGGCAGACAGACACUUAGACAGACAAACAAACAGACAGACACUUAGACAUACAAACAGACACACAGACAGACGCAUAGACAGACAGACAUGCAGACAAACACACACAGAGACAGACAGACAGACACACACAGACAGACAAACACAGCUAUACAGACAGACAGACAAACACCGACAGAGACACACACAGCGACACAGACAGACAAACACACCUACAGACAGACAGACAGACAGACAGACACACUGA
rnacentral:lncRNA from 1 species